GGUCUUUGAAAAAGCGGCGCGGCUAAUUCAAGAUGGCGGAGAUGGACCAGCUGUUAGACGAGAGCUCCUCAGCAGAGGCCCUUGUCAGUCUAAAAGAAGGCAGUUUGUCCAACACUCUGAAUGAAAAAAAUAACUUCCCAAGAGCUCACAACACCAGGGGACGACACGCCUCCCUCACAAUGGACACACCCACACGGAGCUCAAAGAGGAGCCGUUUGUUUCGGGAGGUGGAUGAGGUGUCGCCCCAGCAACGUGUCCCAUCCAGAUCCCCUCGGAGGAGCCAGAGGGUCAGCACCACACCACAGAAAUGUUCUAAUGUGGCGACACCAGAUAAGAAAGCCUCCCAGAAAAUAGGGUUGAGAUUAAGAAACCUCCUCAAGCUACCCAAAGCUCACAAAUGGUGCAUCUACGAAUGGUUCUAUUCCAAUAUAGACAGACCUCUCUUUGAGGGUGACAAUGAAUUCUGCUUGUGCCUCAAGGAGUCUUUCCCCAACCUGAAAACAAGAAAAUUAACAAGGGUUGAGUGGGGAACAAUCCGGAGACUGAUGGGGAAACCUCGGCGGUGUUCAUCAGCAUUCUUCUCUGAGGAGCGGACAGCGCUGAGGCAGAAGAGGCAGAAGAUGCGCCUGCUGCAGCAGAGGAAGCUGUCUGAUGUGUCUAACUGCAAAGACCUUCCUGAUGAAAUCCCUCUGCCACUCAUCAUAGGAACCAAAGUCACUGCGAGACUCCGAGGCGUCCAUGACGGGUUGUUCACCGGGCAGAUCGAUGCCGUGGACACCAGCGCAGCCACCUAUCGGGUCACCUUCGACCGCAGCGGCCUGGGAACACACACUGUGCCUGACUACGAAGUGUUGAGCAAUGAGCCCAAUGAGACCAUGCCCAUUUCAGCCUUUGCCCAGAAGCACCGGAUAUCACGCUACAUGCAGAACGUCAUGACUCCGCCCAGAGGGCCGUACCCGUCCGCUACUACUCCUGUCCUCAUGGAUAAUGACCCUCUUAUCAACCAGUCCCCGUGGAGGAACAAACUGCCUGGUGCUGAGGGAGAUACACUGGGGGGAUUUCCUGUCAAGUUCCUCGUCCAAGUGACAAGGCUGUCGAAGAUCCUCAUGAUCAAGAAAGAGCACAUCAAGCACUUGAAAGAAAUGAACACGGAGGCAGAGAAACUGGUACAUCAUCAUCAUCAUCAUCAUAAUUUUAGAAAAAGAAGUCGUACUCGAUGCCGAUUGACCUGGACUUCCAGAAGCGAUAUGCAACCACAGUGCUGGAGCUCGAGCAGCUCAAUAAAGAUCUCAACAAGGUGCUUCACGAGGUCCAUCAGUUCUGCUGUGAUCUGGCUCCGGAUCAGGGCAUGGUGCCGGCUGACCAUCCCACACAGCUGCGGCGGCGCUGUGAGGACGAGGCCCAGCAGAUGGUGCAGCUGAGCAACACUCUGAAGGACGGACAGCAGAGUGUGACCAACCCCAGCCUCACACAGCUCAUGUCCCGCCUCACUGCGCUGCUGCUACAGAUCAAGUGUCUGGCUGAUGGAGGAGACUUGAAUUCUUUUGAGUUUAAAUCUCUAACAGACUCCCUAAAUGACAUCAAGGCAUCGAUUGAUCCCUCCAACCUCAGUUGCUUCCAGAACAAUGUUGAGAUCCACGUGGCACACAUCCAGAGCGGCCUUAGUCAGCUGGGCAACCUGCAUGCAUUUUCUGCCAACAACACCAACGCAGUCUGAGUGCCGGCACCACCCACGCCACACACACAGGUGCAUGCACACUCACAGGUGCGGUCCAUUCACAUUGUCUUUUGAGGUGGUGCUUUCACUUGAACUGAUACAUAGACUGCAAACACAAAUAACUCAUGUGGAUGUUAUGGACCAGACGCUUACACUCUGAAUUUGGAUGUCCUGGUGAAACGACUCAGAGUUCUGCCCAGACUCCUGACGUUUUUUCCUGAAGGGAUGAUUUUGUGAGUAUUUUACCCGCCCGUUUUAUUGUAGGAGAAUGUUGGUGCACCCAAUUAAACACAAAUCUGAAAGAGCCUUUAGCUAUUACCACAAAUCCACAUCUACAACCUCUCCAUGGUUAUUUAUUGGUUCCAUGUGCCAAACAUUGAUUUUUACAGUUUUUAUAGUCCAUAUUUAUUUAUUUUUGAGUAGGUGUUCAUCGUUAUCAAAACAAUAUUUUGCUAUCUCUAAAGUUUCCCCCUGUAAGUGUUGUGUUGUGUUGCUCCGCGGAUGUUAAGCACAGGGAGGCUAAAGAAUGUUUUAUAAAAUUGUUUAUUGUAGAUAAGUGUACAAUAUCUCUGAUUAUUAGGACUGUGGUCAACAUUUCUGCUGUGUAAUCAGAAAUGGCUUUUGUAAUUUUGUGUGCACUGAAAAGAGAUUUUGGUAUUUUUAUAAAGGAGAACUCUGGGGGUUUUGAUGCCUUGCUAAAAUGACCUUAGCAUUUCCAUAUUUGGCAUGGCUAUUGCUGCACCCCCCCACCCCCACCCCACCCCACACUAAGCCUGCAUCACUGAUGUAAGCCCAUGAAAUAUUCUAGUCAGCAGUUUUUUCCUAGAGAAUCUCCUUUUUCAGUUUUUGUAAAGUUGUAUAUGAGAGUGCCUCAGGGCAAAUGUAUAUAAAUGUUUCCGUCUUUUUAUAUUAAACAUAAUAUUGCAAAGCA